GAGUGCGUCAAUUUGUGCGCUGUCAAUCUUCGGCAUCUGCACUUGGUAUGUGAGAGGUGUUCGUCGAUCGAUGAUGACUGGAGUUCGUCGAUCGAUGAUGACUGGAGUUCGUCGAUCGGCGGUUUGCUCUCAUUGUCGGUCGACUUUUGGCUUGGGGCGUCGAUCAAUGUUUAGGCGUAAAGGGAUGGGCGGAUGUGGGUGUCUUGCUGCGAACUCCUCGUGAGACAUAAUCCUCACGACAUUGCACGAUGCAACCGACUCCAUAGGUGUCGUCGAUCAAU
rnacentral:lncRNA from 1 species